rnacentral:rRNA from 1 species
AUUGAACGCUGGCGGCAGGCUUAACACAUGCAAGUCGAACGGUAACAUAAAGAAGCUUGCUUCUUUGAUGACGAGUGGCGGACGGGUGAGUAAUGCUUGGGAAUCUAGCUUAUGGAGGGGGAUAACUACGGGAAACUGUAGCUAAUACCGCGUAAUAUCGAAAGAUUAAAGUGUGGGACCUUCGGGCCAUAUGCCAUAGGAUGAGCCCAAGUGGGAUUAGGUAGUUGGUGAGGUAAAGGCUCACCAAGCCGACGAUCUCUAGCUGGUCUGAGAGGAUGACCAGCCACACUGGGACUGAGACACGGCCCAGACUCCUACGGGAGGCAGCAGUGGGGAAUAUUGCGCAAUGGGGGCAACCCUGACGCAGCCAUGCCGCGUGAAUGAAGAAGGCCUUCGGGUUGUAAAGUUCUUUCGGUAGCGAGGAAGGCACUUAGUUUAAUAAACUAGGUGAUUGACGUUAACUACAGAAGAAGCACCGGCUAACUCCGUG